rnacentral:piRNA from 1 species
UUUACACGAUUUUCUGCCUGA